GCCUAGGCUUUUUUAAAAGCCUCACACAUGAUGCAAAAUAGGAUUU
rfam:Phoenicopterus ruber ruber contig83586, whole genome shotgun sequence.